rnacentral:rRNA from 1 species
AUUGAACGCUGGCGGCAUGCCUUACACAUGCAAGUCGAACGGCAGCAUGGAGAGCUUGCUCUCUGAUGGCGAGUGGCGAACGGGUGAGUAAUGCAUCGGAACGUACCGUGUAAUGGGGGAUAACGUAGCGAAAGUUACGCUAAUACCGCAUACGACCUGAGGGUGAAAGCAGGGGAUCGCAAGACCUUGCGUUAUACGAGCGGCCGAUGUAAGAUUAGGUAGUUGGUGAGGUAAAGGCCCACCAAGGCGACGAUCUGUAGCGGGUCUGAGAGGAUGAUCCGCCACACUGGGACUGAGACACGGCCCAGACUCCUACGGGAGGCAGCAGUGGGGAAUUUUGGACAAUGGGGGCAACCCUGAUCCAGCCAUGCCGCGUGAGUGAAGAAGGCCUUCGGGUUGUAAAGCUCUUUCGGCCGGGAAGAAAUCGCACAGGCUAAUACUCUGUGUGGAUGACGGUACCGGCAUAAGAAGCACCGGCUAACUACGUGCCAGCCGCCGCCGUAAUAC